UACGUAGGUGGCAAGCGUUGUCCGGAUUUAUUGGGUUUAAAGGGUGCGUAGGCGGCCCUGUAAGUCAGUGCUGAAAUAUCCCGGCUUAACCGGGAGGGUGGCAUUGAUACUGCGGGCUAGAGUACAGAUGAGGUAGGCGGAAUUGACGGUGUAGCGGUGAAAUGCUUAGAUAUCGUCAAGAACACCUAUAGCGAAGGCAGCUUACUAGGCUGUAACUGACGCUGAGGCACGAAAAGUGUGGGGAUCAAACAGG
rnacentral:rRNA from 1 species